UGAGAAGAUAUGCAGGGCGCACGGCGGAUGCCUUGGCACGGGAAGCCGACGAAGGACGCGGCAAGCUGCGAUAAUCCGCGGUUAGGGGCACACACCCUUCGACCCGCGGGUCUCCGAAUGGGCGAACCCGCCAGGAGAGGUCCUGGCAUCCCCCUUGGGAACACAUACCUUGGGGGAGGACAACCCGGGGAACUGAAACAUCUAAGUACCCGGAGGAGAAGAAAUCAACUGCGAGAUCCCCCGAGUAGCGGCGAGCGAAAGGGGGCCUAGGCCAAACCGGCGAGGGAAUACG
rnacentral:rRNA from 1 species